GAAGGUAUAGCUCAGUAAUGAAGGUAAAGUGCAUGCUUACCAUGCAUGAGGUCCUGGAUUCAAUCCCCAGUACCACCA
rnacentral:tRNA from 1 species